CCAUCUAUUUCAGGUUGUUUCGGUCAACGUUGGAGCUCACCAAAGUUCUAACGAAAUGAUAGUUGUGGAUUCUGACCCAAACCCAAUUCGAAUUAGUUGAGUUUGACCAAUUUUGGAUCGAUUCUGGUAAGGUUUUGUCAGAAAUCAUCACAUCAGAGAAAAGGACAUAUCGAGGUUGAUUCGGGGUUCAUCGAGACUGAUUCGAGGUUCUUCAGCAUGCGGAUUCAUCUUCUCAAUUGAUUGUGGGUUGGAAUAAAAUCAUUGAUGAAGGUCCGAUUCUUCAUCUCUUAUCUCUAUUCUUGUGAAUGUUUUUGGAUGGUGAUGAUAAUUAUGUGAUUUUGUUUGAAGCAAUUCUAAUUGUCAUUAUCUAAUUUUUAAUCACUAUUAAGGUCAUGUCAAUCACUGUAGGUGAAAAAUCUGAUUUGAUUUGGGGUGUAGUUUGAUUUGGGGGCGGAAGUUCAAAGUUGAUAAGGUAAGUAUCGUUGUUUCGAUUCAUUGAUAUCAAACUUCAUAGUAUCAUGAUAGGUCGAGUGGGUAGGCACCCGUAUGUUCGGGUAGACAAAAUUUAGGAUGAAAGUGUUCUGUUGAAAUGUGUUGGUCUAUGUUUUUGGAUUAAAAUGUAUUCAUUCGGCCGGGGAAUGCCUUGAAGAUUGAUGUAUUUAUUCAUUGGAGAAUGCCCCGACUUAUCAUGUUGGCGUAGGUAGAUUGUGAUCAAGGCCCGAGGCAUCGGGUAAAGCCUCGGAGCGUAGUUAGGAUUAGUGUAGGUUAGAUAGGAUUUAUUUUUGCAUUUUUCUAUUUUGGACUAUAUAAAUUGGACUGGACACUAUACUUUUGAUUCGUUUUGUUUUGUUUAUUUGGUUGAUUGUUUUUUGUAUGUUUUGUGUACUUUAUACAUUCUUAGUGUCAAGUUAGCCGAUAAGCUCUACUAGCAACCGUGGUCAAACCAUGGGAUCGAGGGGUGCCUAACACCUUCCCCUCGGUCAACAGAAUUUCUUAACCAGAAUCUCUGUUCACGGAUCAGUUUAAAAGAGUCAAAAACAGUUUUGGAAAAGGGUUUUCAAAGGUGACUUUGCACACCCAAUUAUGCCAAGUGGCGACUCUGAGUCUAAAUGUAAAUAAUCCUUUUCGAAACAAAAAUUUUAUUUUUUUGUCACUUUAAUAAAAACCCUUUCAAACUUAAAAGAUCAAUUUUUUUGGUUGUAAAAGGGGUGUGACAGCUCUGGCAACUCUGCUAGGAAUUUUUCAGAAUUUGAGCUUAUUUUGGAGUUGUAUCAGCUUAGUUUGGCACUAUAGGUGUAUAGACAUUUUUUUUGUGUUGUUUUGUGUUCUUGUUUAUCAUUGUUGAGUGCCUACGUGCUCUUUGUUUACAGUUUUUAUCUUAUGUGUUACCGCUUUAUAUUGGCAUCAUGUGCAUAACCCAAAUCAAUUCUUUCUGCAACAAGUUCUGUAGUACAUGCUGUGUACACGGCCUAUAGUUGAGUCACCCUUAUUUUUAGGAGGGGGAGCCGUCGGGUGGUAUGGAGUGGGUGGAAAGCAGUGCAGCCACUAUCGACCAUUCGCUCCCAUGAACAGCCUUGUUAGUGAACCCCAAUGUAGGUCAGCCUUUAGGUCAUGCUUAUUUGCAUCAUUUUGAGAUCUAGCGGGACCCACAUGGCCCUUUGUAGAAGACUCACCUCUAAAGCAUCCCUACGUGCUAAAUGUUGCAUCUUUCAGGGUAACGAGGUCCUUUGACAGACUGAUUUGGGCUAAAGCAUGAGUUAGAAGCAAAGUGUGUUGGCAAGAAAUUGUUGAAAAAAAAAAAAAGAAGAAAAAGAGUGAGAAAAAAAAGAUUUGGUAGUUUUUAAGGUUUUUUAUGGCUUUUGUUUUUCACAAUUCAUAAAAAUAAUAUUUUUUUUACCUUUUGCAUUCAUUUUCCAAAAAAUCAAAGACGUUAAAAAGAUUUUUCUUUUAUUUCUUUAGUAAGUAUUCACAAUUCAAAAACUCCAAAAAAUAUUUUUUCCUUUCAAUAGGAGCUUUGUACAUUUUUAUAUAACGAAAAUAUCAAAAAGAUUUUUUCUUUCAUAGUUGUUGGUGUUAACUUCUAAUUAAAAACCCAAUAAAGAUUUUAUUCAUCUGUCUUUAUUCGUGUCUCUCAAUUCAGGGUUUAGUUUGUCACUUAAUCCUUUAUUGUCCAAUCUGGACGAACUGUGCACCCCUGAUUCUCCUCUUUCGGGAUGUGAGAUACAUAGGCAGCCUAUUGUUGGUUCGGGAAUCUUAUUUCAAAAGUCAAAAAAUAUUUUAUUCACUCUUUAUUUAUAUUAGGUGUUCCAUAUACAUCUUUAAAAUAAAAAAAAUAUAUUUUCUUUAAUAGUUUUAAAUUUCUUUGUCAUAUGAAAUUCAAAAUCGAAAACCCAAAAAGAUUUUUUCUUUGGUAAUAAUAGAUUUCAUUUUAUAUAGAAAUAUGAAAAAUUCUAAAUAUUUUCUUCACUCUUCAUUUAGAGUAGAUUUCAUAUACAUCUUUAAAAGAAAACCAAAAAAGAUCUUCCUUUAAUAGGUUCGAGUUUCAUUUUCGCAUGAAAUUCAAAACUGAAAACCCCAAAAAGAUUUCCCCUGGUAAUCAUAGAUUUCAUUUUGUAUAGGCAUGUUAAAGAUGAAAAAUUCAAAAACAUUUUCGUCAAUUCUUUUGACAAAUUGUUAUUUUCUGUUCUUCUUAAAGUGUCAAGAAAAAGGAAAAAAAGAGGACAAAGAUUUCAAUUGACCAUUUUGGCACGACUUCACGAACUACGCACACCUGAUUCUCCUCCUCGGGAGUGAGAUACGUAGGCGCCCUUUUUGGGUUUGGUGAACUUUUUUAAAAAAAAAAGAGGUUUUGAGGAAGUGUUGAACUCUAACACAUUUGCUAUCUUUUGUUCUUGUACAGUUAGUUUAAGGUGGUUGGUUUGUGGCAUUUUGGGCUGGUCCUCCAUAUUGCACCAAGUCAUAAAGAGCAUUAUGGCCAACAAGGAUACCAAGUUUGUUUUCACUAACCAGAUAGGGAGUUUGGAAAAUGAGAAUUUAGAAUCUAAUGAAGAGAUUCGGAAAUUAAGGUAGCAAAUGAUAGAAAUGCAUCGAGCUUAGGCUAAUGGGUUGCCGCCUCCCCCAGUUCCCACUGAUAACCUGGAAUAUAUUUCUGGCUUGCCUCCCGUGUCACAUGCACAAUUUCCCAUUUUUGUUGAUAUGCCACAACAUGCAUCAGGAUCGACUGCGGGGCAACAAUAUCCAACCACUUCCAAUGUUCAUUUCGUCACUCCCCAAUCCAAGACUACUACAUACGUGGAUCCAGCUGUUGUUUAUUCUUUUGCGGUGCCACCCCCACCUGAAGAUCCUACUUUUGAUGUUCAUCCACAAGUUGUGCCUCCUUACUCUACAUGAGAGUCUGCAUUGAAUAUUACUGGUGAUCAGUGUUAUACUUCCAAGCCUAUAUUCAAGUUGACUGGUCUUUACGGCGACAUUCACCCGCCUGAAUUUCCUCCUAACACUGAGAAACCUGUUAUGACAGAAGAACUAGAGGAAAUAACCAGAAAAUUGAGAAGUUUGGAACUGACUAUGAAGAACUUGCAAGGACUUAGGGGGUUACAAAAGUGUCUCAUAUAAGGACUUAUCCAUGUUUCCAGGUGUCAACCUUCCUCCUGGCUUUAAAAUGCCAAAGUUUGACAAAUAUGACGGACAUGGGGACCAGUGGCACAUUUAAGGUGCUAUUGUAACCAAUUAAGAGGAGCUGGAGGGAAGGAAGAACUACUCAUGGUUUAUUUCGGGGAGAGUCUUUCAGGCCUAGCUUCGGAAUGGUUUGUUGACCAAGACAUCAACAAGUGGAUUAGUUUGUAUGACCUAGCUAAUGAAUUUGUGCUACAAUUUCAAUAUAAUGUGGAGUUGAUCCGUGAUAAAAAAGCCCUAACUAGUAUGAAGAAGAAGAAUACUGAGAGCUCCAGGGAGUAUGCAAUCAGAUGGCGUGAACAAGCUGCUAGAGUGAAAUCGCAAAUGAAAGCAAGCAAAAUAGCGGAGGUGUUUAUUCAAGCGCAGGAUGAAACAUAGUAUCAACACUUGUUACCUCCAUUGGCAAGUCAUUUAUUGAGGUCCUCAAAAUGGGGGAGAUAAUAGAAGAGGGAAUUAAGACUGGUCGCAUUGUGAGUUAUGCAAUAAUGAAAAUGACUACUCAAGCAAUUCAAAAGGGUUCAGGAAGUGUUGGGAAGAAAAAGAAUGAGGAAGAUGCAUCUGCUAUUGUAGUUGGACAGUAGGAAAGGUCAAGAAGACCCCGUCGUUGUCACUCUCAGGCAAAACCCCAAGUUCAUGCCCAAGCUCCACAUAAUCACUCCCAAAAUUCAUUACACUCUGCUCCUCCACCUCUAUAUCCAGUAUAUAACACACAGCCUCAUAUUUAACCCCCAUCUUACCCAUAAUGGAACACACCAACUCCUCAGAAUCAUCCUCUAACUCCACAAACAUACCAAAACCCUUCUAAGCCUGAUUUUCAAUCCAAGUCAAAUGACGAAAUAAGGAAAAAGUUAAGAGAUAGCUUCACACCAAUUGGAGAGUCGUAUGCCAGUUUAUUUUAUAGAUUGGCAUAAUGGGGAAUGAUCACUCCUCUCCUUGGGUGCACUCUUAAUCAGUGUUCAAGAAAUUUUAACCCUAAUGUACGAUGUACGUAUCAUUCUGAUGCUCAGGGUCAUAGUAUUGAAUAUUGUUGAGAUUUAAAAAGGGAAAUUGGAAAGAUGAUUCAGGAUAGAUCAAUCAUGGUGAAGAACAUUGAUAGUGAGAAAAGAUCUAGUCAUGUUGAUAUGCAAACUAGUGGGUAAGUUGUCAAGCUGAGCAAUUGAGAAGUCACCCCUCUCCCUUAGGAAGAGGUCUCGUAAUUUUUUUUGUUUUCAUUUCUAUUUUCUGAAGUAUUUCAGGGUUGUAGUUCGGAAUCUAUCUUGUUUUGUCCCUUUGUCGUUUAUGUUGAAACCCUUUUAUCUUUUAUUUCAACUAAAUGAAGUGUCCCUUUCCUUUUAUGUUUCAUAUAUCUGUUGUUUGUUUGUUUUCUUUAUACAGUACAUUUUAUGUUGACUCUAGUGACAUGACAUACUAGUGAAAUUUACAUCCAGAUCUUAAAUUCCAGUUUAAGCAUGAACAUUGAAUCAGAAGGUUAAAGUUAGAAAAAGAGAGCAUCUGAGAAAAUAGGUAGAGUGCUGAGAUAUUUGGUGACAAGUUCAAGCAUUCUUUGAAAAUUUAGGCAAUUAUUUUGAGAAUCACAAGAAUAACUUGGUCAUCAAUUGAAAGAAAUGUCUCAAUUAGGUCAAACAGUGUCUGCGUGAUCCUAUCAAGAGGAACAAAAAGAAAAUCAAUUCCACGAAAGCAUGAGUCAUUCAAAGUGAGCGAUGUACAACAAAUGUGGAGUGGUAUGUUUGAAAAGUAUAUAAAAAGAGGUGAAACACUUGCUCGGGGCAAGUUAGUGUUGUUAAACAUGUCAUAAGUGAUGUUGAUUGUACACUUUCACAUUACAUGCUAUGUACUAGUAUUUUCAAAGAUUGAUAUAACGAAGACAUUUUAUUCUGCUAUUCAAGCAUUGUGUCAUCCUUUGUUUACCCCAUUUGAGCUCUAGUCCUAUUUUCUUUCAUACCCCUCUUUUGGAAUCAAGAUAGAGUCAGCAAAACUCAAAAGAAUAGUGUUGAGAAAAACAAUAGAGUCAGAAAGUUUCAAAAAGAAAUGAGAGAAAAAAUGUGUCCAAAAGAAGGAAAACAAAAGAGCGUCAAGAAAAAAAUAGAGUCAGAAGGUCCUUAAAAGAAAAAAAAGUCAAUAAAAGAGUCAACAAAGUAAAAAAAAAAAGAAAAUAAAAAAGAAGUCAGAAUCAAGCAAAAGAACAAGCCGCCAGAACUAUGUGUGACCUGAUUCUCCUCUUGCGGGGCUGAGAUACGUAGGCUGCCCUACACUGGGCUCGGUCCAACCAAAUAAAUAGUUUAGAAUUUCCCAGUCAAAAGGAUUGGGCAUGAGUUAAUCCUAAUUGUUUGAGUUGAUUCUAAAAGUUGUAAGUCCUACCCCACUUCAAGUGUCGUUUGGGCCCCAUGUCAUCCAUUCUUUCUAACCCUAUCCAAAAGCCAAGUUACAACCAAAGAAAGACCUUCAGAUCAAUCUUUGAGGAUGUUAAGGCUGAGCAUGCAAGGGAUAUAAUGAUGCAUUUGGGAACUAAUUGUCUUCUUCAGCAUAAGAAAUCAGGAGAGAAAUAAAAAUGAGAGAGUCUUAUUGGUGAAAACCCUCACGAGCACCGUAAGGCGAUGGUAAGUUGAGAGAGAUAAAAAUGAGAGAGUCUUAUUGGUGAAAACUCUCACGGGCACCGUAAGACGACUGUGAGUUAAGGAAACAAAGAUAAUAGAGUCUCAUUAGUGAAAAAUCCUUACAGAUACCAUAAGGCGAUGGUUAGCUGAGGAAAAGAAAAUAAGAGAAGCUUGUUGGCGCAAACCCUUCUAGGCGCCACUAGCUGAAUGAGGUCGUAAAUGCAAUUGACCUAAGGAAGUAACUCAGUUUCAAGGCCAUUAACUCAAAAACAAUUGGUAGAAAAUUUGGAUGAAAAGAUCAACCUGCUUAAUCCAAAAUGCAUGGCAUAAUCAUUCAUGUUGACUGUCAUUUUUCGAUGAAUUUUUCGUUUCUUUGUUACAAAAGGGGAUAUUCAUUGUCUUUUAUUUCUUCUUUUUUUCUUAUUUUAUCUUUCUUAAGUCAGUUAUCCAAACAAAAUUUGUCAUUCUUUUUUUCAUUUCUUGUCUUUGAGUCAAGUCCGUGUCAAAACAAGUGAGAAAAGAUUUCAAAACUGCUUCUUUAAUUGCACAAAGAAAGACAAAAGCUAGCACAUGAAAGAGAAAUAAUUGUGAGCCAAAAAAGGGCAUGCAGAAAGUUUUGUCAACGGAGAAGUCGAGCAACUCAUAGAAAUACCAAGGUUCAAAGGGUCUGAGAAGCAUGGCAAAGCAGAGAUACUAUGUUUGUUUUAGUCACUCUUAAUAAUUUGAGAUUGGAACAAUGAUUCAUCAGGUCAAUGAUAUAUGCUAAUGGUUGGAAGUAAGGUUAAAUGUGACGAGGGCAAGAGCGAUCGCCGCGAAAGGUAAAGCCAUAAACCAGCCACCAUGUUUUAAACUCACAAGUUUUCUUUGAUGAAACAGGAAACAUAUUACCUUCAAAGCAGGGAAUUCAGAGCAUAAACAUCAAGGGUUGCAAUGCCUCACUUUUAAAAAUGCAGAAAGCAAUAUUGCUGCACAGGUUUGAUAAUAAAAUCCUGGUAAAAAUUUAUCAUCCUAUAUCCCUCAGAGACACUUUCUUGUCCAGGGAUUUCAGUGUUCAUUUGCUAGGUGAUACACUUCUUAAAUUGAACCUUCACUCCAAGAAGACGUACUUUUUAGUCGAGUCAUUCUCUUUGAUUCCUAUAAGACGUACCUUUUAGUCGAGUCAUCUCCUUUGAUUCCUAUAAGACGUACCUUUUAGUUGAGUCAUUCCCUUUGAUUUCUAUAAGACGUACCUUUUAGUUGAGUCAACCCCCUUGAUUCCUAUAAGACGUACCUUUUAGUCGAUUCAUUCCCCUUGAAACCUAGAAGACGUACCUUUUAGUUGAGUCAUCCCCCUUGAUUCCUAUAAGACGUACCUUUUAGUCAAUUCAUCACCCUUGAUUACUAGAAGACGUACCUUUUAGUCGAGUCAUCCCCCUUUAUUCCUAUAAGACGUACCUUUUAGUUGAUUCAUCUCCCUUUGAUUUCUAUAAGACGUACCUUUUAGUUAAGUCAUUCCCCUUGACCCCUAGAAGACGUACCUUUCAGUCGAGUCAUCCCCCUUGAUUCCUAUAAGGCAUACCUUUUAGUCGAGUCAUUCCCUUUGAUUUCUAUGAGGCAUACCUUUUAGUCGAGUCAUCUCACCUUUGAUUCCUAGAAGACGUACCUUUUAGUCGAGUCAUCCCCUUUGAUUCCUAUAAGACGUACCUUUUAGUCGAGUUAUUUCCCUUUGACCCCUAGAAGACGUACCUUUUAGUGGUGUCAUCCCCUUUUAUUCCUAUAAGACGUACCUUUUAGUCGAGUCAUUUUCCUUUGAACCCUAGAAGACAUACCUUUUAGUCGAGUCAUCCCCUUUGAUUCCUAUAAGACGUACCUUUUAGUAGAGUCAUUUCCCUUGACCCCUAGAAGACGUACCUUUUAGUCGAGUCAUCCCCCUUGAUUCCUAUAAAAUAUACCUUUUAGUCGAGUCAUCUCCCUCUGAUUCCUAUAAGACUUACCUUUUAGUCGAGUCAUUCCCUUUGACCCUAGAAGACAUACCUUUUAGUCGAGUCAUUCCCUUUGAAUCCUAUAAGACGUACCUUUUAGUCGAGUCAUCCCCUUUAAUUCCUAUAAGACGUACCUUUUAGUCGAGUAAUCCCUUUUGAUUUCUAUAAGACGUAUCUUUUAGUCGAGUCAUACCCUUUGAUUCCUAUAAGUUGAGUCAUCCCCUUUGAUUUCUAUAAGACGUACCUUUUAUUCGAGUGAUUCCCUUGACCCCUAGAAGACGUACCUUUUAUUCGAGUCAUUUCCUUUGAUUCCUAUAAGACGUACCUUUUAGUCGAGUCAUUCCCCUUGAGCCCUAUAAGACGUACUUUGUAGUCGAGUCAUCCCCCUUGAUUCCUAGAAGUUGUACCUUUUAGAUGAGUCAUUCCCAUUGAUUCCUAUGAGACUUACCUUUUAGUCGAGUCAUUAUCCUAUAAUGAUGUGACUUUCGCAAAAGUCCUUUGAUGAUAAACUAGGGUAAAAUUUAACUCUUGUUUUUGGAACUUUACUUUUCUGGCAAACGAAAUUUCUCUGUCUAAUAAUUUUGUUUGGAAUAAUUUUCUUUCCAGACUUGAUGUGAUUUCAGGAGCUUGCCCGAAGCACAGGGCGAAUAAAUGGAAAACCAAGCAAUAAGGUGAAGAAAUUAAAAGUUAAACAGUUUGAAAAAUAACAAGUUAGGAGCCCGCCUGUAAAACAGGGUGAAUAAAUUGAAAGCAUAGCAAAGAGUGAUGAAAUAGCAGGUCAGGAACCCGCCUGUAGAACAGGGUGAAGAAAUUGAAAGCGAAGCAACAAAUUGCAGAAAUUGCAAGUCAGGAGCCCGCCUGAAGAAUAGGGUGAUGAAACUCAAGUCAAGAGUCCAGAGAAACUGCGUAGAUAGGAUAUCUGUAAUUUCAUUUAUGUUUCUAAAUUGUAAUUUUUAUUUUGAUGUAAUAACAGAGCCGCAGAUCAGAACCUCGAUGGAACCUCACUCGACUCUCCAACUCAAUAUAGUCCUUUUCCUUCCAAUACUUUAAGAUACCUGUCACUUCAUUCCCUUAUAACUUGAGUAGGUGGCAGUGUCCUAAGUCAAGAUGUGGUUGUCCUUCUUCCUUUUACUUCCUCUUUUGAAUAAUGACCGGGACUAAAUUCUGUCUCGUUGUCUACUUCUUUUUAUGAAAACACUCUAUGUUUACAUUCAAAGGGGGAAUGAUGUAGACACAUAGUUUUGUCCCAUCAAAAAAAUUAUUUUUAUUAUCUUAUCCUGUUUUACCACGCACCCCAACCCGUGUGUAAUCCCUCCACAAAAUGACAAAAAUAACAACCCCCUAGCUAAUAUUAUCUUAUCCUAACAACCUACCCAAUCAAAAUAAACCACAUCACCCCUACCCUUACCUCACUACCCCACCUACCUUACCCCACUACCAUACAAUUCUCAUUCUCACCAGAAAAUCAUCAGCACACCUCACAACAUAGAUACACACAUAGUAUACACGCCCAAGGGGAAGAAGAAAAAAGCACACAUACACAUAAAGAGCUGCGAGGGAGAGAAAUCUAUGAGAGGGAGAGAGAGACGAACGAUGGGUUGACUGGAAAUGGGAGAAAUAUAUAGAGAACAUAAUUAUACAGGGGGAUUCGAUUAGGUUUUUCUUCUCUUUGACAGCCAUCGUUUCUCCAGGAGGAAACUUCAUUUUCUUAUCUAUACAUAGACGCACACAUCGAACACACCUAGAUCGAGAGAGAGAGUGAGGAAUCGAGUGAGAAAGAGGGCAAAAAAUAAGAGAGAGGAGGAUCGGAAACAACAUCCCCUCACGGGAACAACUUCAUUUUCCAUCUAUUUAGCUUGUUUUGGUCAAUGUUGGAGCUCAUCGGAGUUCUAACGAAAUGAUAGUUGUGGAUUUAGACCCAAACCCAAUUCAAAUUAGUCGAAUUUGACCAAUUUUGGGUCGAUUCCGGUAAGGUUUUGCUGGAAAUCAUCACAUCAGAGAAAAGGACAUAUCAAGGUUGAUUCAGGGUUCGUCGGGUUGAUUCAGGGUUCGUCGGGUUGAUUCAGGGUUCUUUGGCAUGUGGAUUCGUCUUCUCGAUUGAUUGUGGGUUGGAAUAAAAUCAUUGAUGAAGGUCCAAUUCUAUAUCUCUUAUCUCUGUUCUUGUGAAUGUUUUUGGAUGGUGAUGAUAUUUAUGUGGUUUUGUUUGAAGCAAUUCUAAUUUUCAUUAUCUAAUUUUUAAUCACUGUUAAGGUCAUGUCAAUCACUGUAGGUGAAAAAUAUUUGAUUUGGGGGCAGAAGAUAAAAGUUGAUAAGGUGAGUAUCGUUGUUUUGAUUCAUUGAUAUCGAACUUGAUAUUAUCAUGAUAGGUCGAGUGGGUAGGCAACCUUAGGUUCGGCUAGGCGAAAUUUAGGAUGAAAAUGUUUUGUUGAAAUGUGUUGGUCUAUGUUUUCAGAUUGAAAUGUAUUCAUUCGGUCAGGGAAUGCCCUUGAUGUAUUUAUUCACCGGGAAAUGUCCCGACGUAUCAUGUUGGCAUAGGUGGAUCGUGAUCAAUGCUCGAGGCAUCGAGUAAAGCACCGGAGCGUUGUUAGGAUUAGUGUAGGUUAGAUAGGAUUUAUUUUUGCAUUUUUCUAUUUUGGACGGUAUAAAUUGGACUGGACACUGUACUUUUGAUUCGUUUUGUUUUGUUUGUUUGAUUGAUUGUUUUUUGUGUGUUUUAUGUGGUUUAUAAAUUCUUAGUGUCAAGUUAGCCGAUAUGCUCCACCAAGCGACCGUGGUCAAACCACGGGAUCGAGGGGUGCCUAACACCUUUCUCUCGGUCAACAGAAUUCCUUAACCGGAAUCUCUGUUCGUGGAUCAGUUUAAAAUAGUCAAAAACAGUUUUGAAAAUGGAUUUUGAAAGGUGACUUGGCACAUCCAAUUAUUUCAAGUGGCGACUCCGAGUCUAAAUGUAAAUAAUCCUUUUCGAAUUUUUUUUUCAUUUUUUUGUCACUUUAAUAAAAACCCUUUCAAACUUAAAAAAUUAAUUCGUUUGGUUGUAAAAGGGGUGUGACAAAGACUGAAAUUAUUGGACCACAGGGAUACCAGGGCGGCGCCCUGCUUAGGUACUGGGAGAACCCAGGGCGGCGCCCUGCUUAGGCUAGGAGAACCCAGGGCGGCGCCUCCCGUAGACUGGUGGAGAGAGGCUCAUUGGUUCGAAAUUCAAACACGUCCUAAACGAGGUACAAAAAUUCUGAAACUCAUCCGAGAUGUACUAUUGACUUGUCCCAUCGCAACGCAACUUGAAAAUCGAAAAACGGAUGUCGGGAAGGUCAUGAAAUAAUUCCUCGAAGUUGAAGGCUCAAAAAUAAACUAAGUGUUGAAACACUUAGCAAAAUUUCUAAGGAUAAGGCUUCUUUUAAUUCGCUCGGAAGCCUUAAACGACGAGUGAACUUCACGGGGUCUUACAAGGUAAUGUUACAAAAGUGUGCAAUCUUAAAAACAAUUCUCAAGCAAAAUUUGUGGAAGCAGAAAUUGAGGAGGAACAACUUUUUUAAAUCACAGUAAACAAGUCUUAGAACUUAUUUUCCGGGCUAGUAGAUAUCAUAUGAUAUAUAUGUACCUUUUUUUCUUCGUGUUGUCUAACCGGUCCACUACAAAUGUAGGAUAAGAUCAAACCAUCUCAAACAAGUUCUGAGCAUUUAGCUACUCGGUCAUUAAUCUGACACAUGAUAGAACCAAAAGAAAACAUUGUAAUAAUGCAGGGAUUGGGGAGUAGUGAUUAGACAAGGAUAUUAUGCAUGCAACUUAAUGAUGACAUGAUCCUAAUCGGAGCGUAAUAGUGUUAAGAGUUAGGAUAUAAGAUUAGUAGGUAGUAAGCAUUUUAUUUGUUAUCAUAAGUUUUUACCUAUUAUAUAUACACUCCAUCUGUUUCAUAUUAAUUGACUUUUAUAAAUAUUUUAAUUUACUUGUUAAAUUUAGAAAAUCAAGAGAAUUUUAUUCUAUUUUUGCUUUCUUGUUCAUAGUAUAAAUAACUACAUAAGAUAGUAGUAGUAAAAGUUUCCCUUUGCAGUAUUAUUAUAAUUACUCUUUCCUAUCUUAUCUUAUUAGUUGAUUUUAAUAUUAUAUGUUUUUUGUUUUGCUUCAGUUAUCGUAUUAUUUGUUUUUGCUACUGUUCUCUUCUCCAUUAUUUUUAAGCUUCGUCUUCUUCACUAGUUACUGUAUUUUCUUGCCAACCUUAAAUUUUUUAUGCUUCACUUAAUCCAAGGAUCUAUCGGAAACAAACUAUUUACUUUUACAAGGUAGGGAUAAGGCUGCAUAUACAUCACCUUCACUAGACCCCGUUAUGGGACUACAUUGAGUAUGUUAUUGUUGUUGUAUGGUUGAAUUACAGGAAAAGAUUGUGGCUGCAGCACCAGAUUUCUAACAUCAAGAAUCAUGCCUAUUUGGAUUUUACUUUUCUCUCCCUGAUGUCAAUUGGACUUUUUGUUUUAGAGAGAAUAAAUAUGCACUUUAACAAAGAGUGAUAAAAAUUUUACGGCAUUAUAUAAUUCUCAUUAAAUCCAAAGUCUAUAGUCUUUAAGGGCAUUUAAAAAAAGUGCUAAAAUGUAAUUGUCACCAACAAAUGCCU
rnacentral:lncRNA from 1 species